CGUUUUUAGCCAAAAUUGCCAAAAUAAAUUAUUGGAAAGUAAAGCUAUAAGAUAUGGAAUUAAAAUAAUUUAUUUGGAAAUAAAUAAUACGGAAUUUAUCGAGAAUCGAAUGAUUAAGUGAUUGAUGGACUAAAUCGGACAAAAUAAAAGUUAGAAAGUGAAGAAAAAGGAGGUGGCAACUUCAAGGACUAAAAGAGACUCUUUUCCCACUUAUUAUCAUCAAUUAAGAAUGAAUAUUCAUUCAUUCAAAACAGAAAUUGCAGCCAAAAUCCGUAACCCUCCUUCUCCAUUUCUCUCCAAAUUUCACAUGUCCAUAACUUUUUCGUUUCUCAACGAAAUUGAGCGAUUCUUGCGGCCACGGAACGAGAAAACGAUUAUCUACAAAUAUGUGGCAUUAAUUUGAGGUAAAAAUAGAUUUAUUUGGUUGAAAAUUGAGCUGUUAGUUUCGGGAUUUUUAGGUUUAAAGAUGAUAAUGAUUAAUUGUUGAUUGUAGAGAGUUUAUAAGCUUGAAUUGGAUGCAAAAUGAUGAUGGAGCUAAGGUUUUCAAGGUAAGAUAAUCAAUUUUAGGUUUCAUGGAUAGUAUUCAUGGAUUGAUGAUAGUAAAGAUUAGGGUUUAUGAUGUGUAAUUGGGGUUUUUGUUUGAUUGUGUGUUGUAAGGUGAAAUUGAGCUUGAUUAAAGGGAUUUGAUGGUGAUUGUUCAUACUAGAACCAUUUGACAUAGAGGCAUCGUUCAAGACUCGAAGAAGCGACUAUCGAUAAGGCUCGAGGCGAAUGGAUCGAGAUAUCGUCGUGCUUAUUUAAAGAAUUUGGAUAGCAAGUGGGAUAGCAUGAUAUGAUUUGAAGAGUCAAGCUUCCGAAGUUUUAAUUCUCGGAAGUCAUUUGUACAAGAAGAAAAAGAAAAUUUUCAUUCUAGUAGUCCGCAGUAGUCUAGAUAUUUUAACUAGAAUUUUGUAUAACGCGUUUUUAACUCUGAUAUUAUUUGUAAAUGGGGUCACAUGUAUUUUAAUAUAUGGAAUAUGUUUUGAUUUGCGAAAAAUUUACACAGGUUUUUAGGCUUGCUACGGGAUUUGGAGCUACCACUCCCAUUCCCUAGCGCCGGUCGCGGCUCAUAAAUUUGGGUCGUGACAUUGUUAAAG